rfam:Bovine gpx1 mRNA for glutathione peroxidase
UUUUGCCCAUGAAGGUGUUCCCUCUAAACCUACGUGGAGGAAUGCCUGAUGUCCAGGAAAA